GAUGAACGCUGGCGGCGUGCUUAAUACAUGCAAGUCGAGCGAACAGACGAGGAUCUUGCUCCUACGACGUUAGCGUCGGAAGGGGGAGUAACAUGUGGAUAACCUUACUAUAAGACUGGGAAUAAUUCGGGAAAACGGUGCUAAUAACGGAUUACAUAUUGAACCGCAUGGUUCAAUAGUGAAAGACGGCUUUGCUGUCAAGUAUACAAGGAUUCGCGCCGCAUUAGCUAGUUGGUAAGGUAACGGCUUACCAAGGCAACGAUGCGUAUCCGACCUGAGAGGGCGAUCGGCCACACUGGGACUGAGACACGGCCCAGACUCCUACGGGAGGCAGCAGUAGGGAAUCUUCCACAAUGGGCGAAAGCCUGACGGAGCAACGCCGCGUGAGUGAUGAAGGUCUUCGGGUCGUAAAGCACUGUUAUUAGGGAAGAACAAAUAUGUAAGUAACUAUGCUCGUCUUGACGGUACCUAAUCAGAAAGCCCCGGCUAACUACGUG
rnacentral:rRNA from 1 species